CACGAUGUCGUGAAAUAACGGAGCAUUGACGUAGCAUUGGCGGAAGCUAGCCUUGUGCUUUACGGCAACGACUGUAGGUAGGUUCGCAUCCGGAUAGGCUCAAGAGGUGCAGGGCGGGCUGCAGGUGUGCAAGGGCUGCAGGUAGCGGCAUCCGUUUUCGUAUCUAACUUUAGGGUUUGUUUUUGAGUCUUCAGGAAGGCGAGAUUAAUCCCCCCACUUCACUGCUGGGAGUCAGAGAUUCUGUUACUGGCCCCGGAGCGGUCGCUCUCCCUUACCUGCGUGGUUUCCUGGACGCAUACUUUCUUAGGCUACUUAGACUCGCCCUCCCUUCGCCUAGGUGUCUCGUCGUUUGAUUUGGUUUUAGUUCUGUUCUUUGGGAGAAGUCCAGUUUCCGGUGCCUCCUGAGCGGGUCCCCCUCUCGCCUCCAUCUUCGUCCCCCGGGAAGCCCGGCCCCUCGCUCGCCGCGGCCGGGAAUGGAGCGGGAGGGCUCUUCCCCGCCCGGAGAGCGCCCUGCUUCUGACCUCGGACAGGCCCUGUCCCAGAUCCUGCACCGUCUGACCGGCCCGGAGUCCCGACGGGGCAGUGCCAGGAAUGCAGCUCUCCAGGACCUCAGCGCUCUCCUGGAGGCCGCAGGGUGCGAUCGGUUAUUUGCGGGGAGUGACACGCCGCUCGGCGGAGCGCCGGGGACGCUGGGGGAGGUGACAGCCGCCCUGGAGAAGCACGCAGCGCCCCGCAAGGAGGAGGAAGGCGGAGCGGAUGGGUGCUCUGCGGUGGCCGAGAAGGCGGCGGCGGUUGGGCUGCUGUUCACUAAGCUCCUGAGGAGAGUGGAGUCGGCCAAGGAGUCCCCGGGCUGCCUCGCGUGGAAGAGAGGCCUGCGCCACCUGGCUGGACCCAUCUAUGUGUUUGCCAUCACACACAGCCUGCAGCAGCCGUGGACCAGGCCGGGGUCUCGGGAGGUUGCAAGAGAGGUGCUCGCCUUACUGCUGCGCGUUACUGAGUGUGGUUCUGUGGCAGGAUUCCUCCACGGGGAACACGAAGGCGAGAAAGGGAGGUUUGCUGAGAUAAUGGGGCUUCUCCAGCCCGAUUUGAAUAAGGAAUCCUGGAAGAAUAACCCUGCCACCAAACAUGUUUUCUCCUGGACUCUGCAACAGGUCACUAGACCCUGGCUGAACCAACAUCUAGAAAGGAUUCUUCCCCCAUCCUUGCUCAUCUCAGAUGACUAUCAAAUUGAGAACAAAGUCCUGGGUGUCCAUUGCCUCCAUCACAUUGUGCUUAAUGUGCCAGCUGCUGAUUUGCUCCAGUAUAACAGGGCCCAGGUCCUAUACCAUGCCCUUUUCAACCAUCUGUACACUCCGGAGCACCACCUCAUUCAGGCUGUGUUGCUGUGUCUGCUGGAUCUGUUUCCAGUCCUGGAGAAAGGCCUGCACUGGAAGGGAGGUGCAGCUCGACCCACCACACACUGUGAUGAAGUCCUGCAGCUGAUUCUGACCCACAUGGAGCCAGAGCACCGCAUUCUCUUACGCAGGACCUACGCGAGAAAUCUGCCAGCUUUUGUGAAGAGGCUGGGGAUCCUGACCGUCCGGCACUGGAAGAGGCUAGAGCGAGUCAUCCUUGGUUAUCUGGAGGUUUAUGACGGGCCAGAGGAGGAGGCGAGAUUGAAGAUACUGGAAACCCUAAAACUUCUCAUGCAGUAUACUUGGCCCAGAGUUUCCUGUAGACUUGUGGUCUUACUGAAGGCUCUCUUGAAACUGAUAUGUGAUGUAGCAAGGGAUUCAAGCCUUUCACCGGAGCCUGUUAAGGGUGCUUUAUUAGAGGAGGCCACAGACUGCCUGCUUCUCCUGGACCGCUGCUCUCAAGGACAAGUGAAGGGUCUCCUGGCUAAAAUUCCCCAAAGCUGCGAAGACAGCAAGGUGGUGGAGUGUGUCAGAAAGGUGCAGCUGGUUUCUGAAGGCGCUCCCUACAGUGGAACUUAAAAACUUUGCAGUACUUUCCUAAAGAGAAGAGGAUCUUCUUUUUGUAUAAAUGGAAUUAUUUAAAGAAAAAGGAAAAAUAUUAGAAAGCCCAUCAGUAAGAUUAAAAUUGUCAAUGCACAUUGGGUUAGCUGAACCUGGAGAACACAGAAGCCACUGCUGACCCAGAAUUAACCUCGCUAUAGAAAAAUAAGAUCAUUUCAUUACUUUUGGUUAAGAGGCUGAAAAUGACAGCCUGUCUCUCAAAAUAGAUCUAGUCCUAUAGAUUACUGCUGGACAAAACAAAAGUACAAACAAG